rnacentral:misc_RNA from 1 species
CAGCCUGCAAUUGUGUGGGCGUCUUCCAGCUCUGUCUAUGGUCUCAAUACUAAAAUCCCCUUUUCGGAAAAAGAUCGAACAGAUCAACCUAUGCUGCUACCAAGAAGGCUGGUGAGGAAAUUGCACACACUUAUAAUCAUAUCUACGGUUUAUCAAUCACUGGUUUGCGGUUUUUCACUGUUUAUGGUCCCUGGGGGCGACCGGAUAUGGCUUAUUUCUCUUUUACAAAGGAUAUAUUGAAAAGAAAGCCAAUAACCAUUUUUGAGGGGCCCAGUGGCAAGGGAUUUUACCUACAUUGAUGAUAUAGUGAAGGGUUGCUUGGGUGCAUUGGAUACU